rnacentral:lncRNA from 1 species
AGAAAAAAAAACUCAGCUAAAACCUUGGUCUGCACACACACAUUCCAAUUUAGUUCCAACUUUUCGUCACACACCGAAGGCCCUUUCUAUGAUCAUCAAAUAAUUAGCUUUCUGAUUGCCAGGAACAUAUAAGCAAAGUAAAACAAUCACCAAUCAACAUGUAAUUUCUGGAUUAAUUUGUUUAGACUUCACUAUAUUUUUAUGCCAAUAUUCUCAUCAUUUAAAUGACUCAAUCUGACGAUUGGUGUGAUUCAUAGAGUUCACCUCGGGCCCCCAAAACUCUAGGAACGGACCUGCUCUUCUGUGACUAUUAACUUUUGUUCCGCAGCACCAUACGUGUGGCAUCAUCUACAAGUUUACUAUGCACAAGCAAUAUGAUCUUACACAAAGGAUGGAAAGGUGUAUGAAAUGUCAAGACUCCGUACAAAGUGUGUUUAACCUGUUUGAGGACCACUUUGCAUGUCUUAAUCCAUGCAUAAAUUAGAGUGGUUGGAAGUUCAUUUUUUGUGGAGGUCCUUCCGUCUUAAUUAGCAGUAGAGGAGAAGAUGGACGAGGACAAAACCGAAAUAAAGGACAUCUUUUUGGUGAGGUAAUACAUAGAUCACAGAGGAAGAUGGAGUAUACAUAACGCGGUCACAUGCCUACUGCUUCUCCUAGGAACAUUACAAUGUAAGUUAAGAUCGAUCCGAAUUAGAGUCACUUUCUGGUUUAGAUCAAUGUUGAGUCGGUAUACAAUUUGUAAAGAGAUUCAACGGAUUAUAGGUUGAUCUCUUAGUCCAGUUCGUAUUCAGUUACCUAGUUAGAUUCGGUUUGCAGGUUGCCGCGUAUAUAUACGCAUGUAUGCUCUGUAAACGUUAAAACCCAGAAAGAAAAAAAAGAAAAAGGCAAGGCUCGACACGAGCCUUUGGCUAUCCACAAACUCCAAUCUGUUUUCCGGUGCGUGUGUGGUUUGACGUGAGUACUGCACUGCUUUGCUAAUCGAUUUGCAUAGCGUUGCUGCUGUACGUGCGCGUCUGGCCGGAAUCAAUCAGCUUGCCAGCUGAUCGUCGUUGUUGCUUGCGAGAGAGGAUUUGGGCUGAUUUCCAACAUAUAAACCAUAUAUGUAAUACAAAAUGAACACAAGCUUUGUCACAACCGCACAUAACGAAGUGGCAUGCAUGAGGCAAGGAAAAAGGAUAAUAUCCCUCUAGAUUUGCCAGUAGUAAAUUGAUGUCAAUAUGGCAUGCAUAUAUGCUAGGUAGAAUACAUAAGAUUAAGCACUGGAGCAACGUCUAUUAGGCAAUCGACAAGAGGGUACGUAACGUACCGCCUCCCGGCUGGAGGG